UUGGAGGGCAAGUCUGGUGCCAGCAGCCGCGGUAAUUCCAGCUCCAAUAGCGUAUAUUAAAGUUGUUGCAGUUAGAAAGCUCGUAGUUGAAUUUCGGGAUCAAUUUAUUGGUCGUGCCAACGGUACGCACUGGUACAAUUGGUUUCUCCCCUCUGACGAAGCAUGAUGUUAUUAAUUUGAUGUCGUGGGGAAUCAGGACUGUUACUUUGAAAAAAUUAGAGUGUUUAAAGCAGGCUUUGGCUUGAAUACAUUAGCAUGGAAUAAUGAAAUAGGACGUUUGAUCUUAUUUCGUUGGUUUCUAAGAUCGACGUAAUGAUUAAUAGGGAUAGUUGGGGGCAUUAGUAUUCAAUUGUCAGAGGUGAAAUUCUUGGAUUUAUUGAAGACUAACUUCUGCGAAAGCAUUUGCCAAGGAUGUUUUCAUUAAUCAAGAACGAAAGUUAGGGGAUCGAAGACGAUCAGAUACCGUCGUAGUCUUAACCAUAAACUAUGCCGACUAGGGAUCGGACGAUGUUAAUUUUUCUUGACUCGUUCGGCGCCUUACGGGAAAC
rnacentral:rRNA from 1 species